AUUGAACGCUGGCGGCAGGCUUAACACAUGCAAGUCGAGCGGGGGAAGGUAGCUUGCUACCGGACCUAGCGGCGGACGGGUGAGUAAUGCUUAGGAAUCUGCCUAUUAGUGGGGGACAACAUCUCGAAAGGGAUGCUAAUACCGCAUACGUCCUAUGGGAGAAAGCAGGGGAUCUUCGGACCUUGCGCUAAUAGAUGAGCCUAAGUCGGAUUAGCUAGUUGGUGGGGUAAAGGCCUACCAAGGCGACGAUCUGUAGCGGGUCUGAGAGGAGGAUCCGCCACACUGGGACUGAGACACGGCCCAGACUCCUACGGGAGGCAGCAGUGGGGAAUAUUGGACAAUGGGGGGAACCCUGAUCCAGCCAUGCCGCGUGUGUGAAGAAGGCCUUAUGGUUGUAAAGCACUUUAAGCGAGGAGGAGGCUACUUUAGUUAAUACCUAGAGAUAGUGGACGUUACUCGCAGAAUAAGCACCGGCUAACUCUGUGCCAGCAGCCGCCGUAA
rnacentral:rRNA from 1 species